rnacentral:rRNA from 1 species
UGCCAGACUCCUACGGGAGGCAGCAGUAGGGAAUAUUGCUCAAUGGGGGAAACCCUGAAGCAGCAACGCCGCGUGGAGGAUGAAGGUUUUCGGAUUGUAAACUCCUUUUGUUAGAGAAGAUAAUGACGGUAUCUAACGAAUAAGCACCGGCUAACUCCGUGCCAGCAGCCGCGGUAAUACGGAGGAUGCGAGCGUUAUCCGGAUUCAUUGGGUUUAAAGGGUGCGCAGGCGGGCCUUUAAGCCGGGGGGGAAUGCGGGGGGCCCACCCCCGCCGAGCCGUCGGAACUGGGGGCCUUGAGUGCGGCGGAGGCAUGCGGAAUGCGCGGUGUAGCGGUGAAAUGCAUAGAUAUCGCGCAGAACCCCGAUUGCGAAGGCAGCGUGCCGUGCCGCCACUGACGCUGAGGCACGAAAGCGCGGGGAUCGAACAGGAUUAGAUACCCGCGUAU